rnacentral:tRNA from 1 species
GCUCGCAUAGCUCAGUUGGGAGAGCACCUGCCUUACAAGCAGGGGGUCACAGGUUCAAGUCCUGUUGCGAGCACCA